GACGAACGCUGGCGGCGUGCCUAAUACAUGCAAGUCGAACGCACUUUCGUUAGAUUGAAGAAGCUUGCUUCUGAUUGAUAACAUUUGAGUGAGUGGCGGACGGGUGAGUAACACGUGGGUAACCUGCCCUAAAGUGGGGGAUAACAUUUGGAAACAGAUGCUAAUACCGCAUAAAACCUAGCACCGCAUGGUGCAAGGUUGAAAGAUGGUUUCGGCUAUCACUUUAGGAUGGACCCGCGGUGCAUUAGUUAGUUGGUGAGGUAAAGGCUCACCAAGACCGUGAUGCAUAGCCGACCUGAGAGGGUAAUCGGCCACACUGGGACUGAGACACGGCCCAGACUCCUACGGGAGCAGCAGUGAGGAAUAUUGGGCAAUGCUCGAAAGAGUAGACCCAGCAACGCCGCGUGGAGGA
rnacentral:rRNA from 1 species